CCGAUCUCUUUCCAUACUUAGCUCCACCUUCGCUCCCUCCCACACACUUUUACGUAGCCCAAGAAAUCCUCUCGCACGAUCCUCGCAAUAACUACAGAAUAUAUCCUUCCCCAAUUAUCGCUUUCCUUGCCCGAGCGAGAUCGUGGUCCCUUCUCCCCUCCUCCCUCCCACAGCUCGCUCAGGUUUUCUUCCGCUACACCUAUCCUCUUCCGGCCUCUUCCUGGAGCCCUCGGCUUCGUGCUCGUAGGAAUCGGAGGCGGUGACGCUCGACGUUGUCACGUCGAGGCUGGAUCUAGGGGACAGGCAGGCGGCGCUCGUCACGGGAAGAGGAGCAUGUAACUCAUGGAGUCAAAGCUUGUGUGGGGCCGUUUGGCGACGCUCGACCGCGGCAGGGAGGCGAGGACGCGUGAACGCAUAUGUGCCUGCUCGCCGAGCGUCGCGACGUUGACGGGCUGGGGCUUGAUGUCGAGGCCCUCCGCUUCCUGCACCUCUUCGUGUCGAUGGCCAGAGGCACACACCGGUACUAGAAACACGAUGGCCAGAGAUGAUGAUCCAAAAUGCAUAGAAACAUGGGUAGAGAUGGGAAACUGUGAAAGCGAUGGGAACUAUCUGGAAUACAGGAUUGAGCGAUCUAGCAGAUACUUAUGAACUUCUGAAGCUCGGUUGUUCAGAUUAUCAUGGAUGAGAUGAUAAGGAAGCGCCUGAUAUAGCUUUCAAAAUUGAAGUUGGGUCGCCGAAUUGAGGCCAAGGCCCAUGUUGUUCUGCAUUUUUACAGAUGGUCUUCUGUGAUCAAAUUGGCGUCUCAAUUUCAACAAGGAUGCUGAUAUGAUGAUUGAGGAAAUGAAGCUUAGAGUUGUCUACACAUUGCCCAGUGGAAGCUCAGACAACAACGGAGUUACAUCUUUGGCAUACAGGAGCUUCAGGAACUUCAGGCAGGGCACUAUGAUUUCUCGGUGAGAUUGGCUAGCUUUAUGUUCUAUGUAGGAAACAUAUGUUUUGCUAAUAAAUUUGUAGUGCAAAGGCUAACUGUAUCUGCACAAGAGCCGAACCUGAAGAAGUUGAGGGCCCAUGCAGCGAUUUCAGAACCUAGGGAAAACUAGACUGACUGGUCUUCAAGAAAUAAAGGGCAACAGUAAAAAAUUAUCCAUUUAUAUUGAAUUAGGAACAAUCUUCUAGCACACACAUCUGGUUUGACAUUUUGACAUUUAUAUGGAUAGAAACAUGAGCAGACGCCUACGACCAGACGCCAUCGCUUCACACGGUCGCCUUUCGGCCAUAAGAUUCACCGGCGGGGUACUUGGAGCAGGGAGCCACGGAUAGAAACUGACACACCUUAUAUGCAUUAUGCGGAACAAUCGGUACUACUUGUUUUAGGAGUAUGGUUCAAAAAUUUGGUACCGACAAUGAUUAGGUUCCAACGAUUCAGUAACCCUUAUUUAUAUGCAGGAUAAAUUCAGUAGGAAAAGUAACCAACAGAAUCUGGGUACAAUAAAAUGGAAACAAAUUACUUCUAGCCCGAACAUUAAAUUCCAGCAUAAUUCUUUUGUGUCAUUAUGUGUGUCUGGGUGUAACAUAUGCAACUUUGAAGGUGACGCUGGCGAGGCAUUACUAUAUCUUUCUAAGCUUCCACUCUGUGUUAUUUUGUUUGUUCUGGAGAUUCAUAAAUAUUUCUAUUUUCCGCUUCAGUAUUCACUGAAAGGCUGGACUACGUUUACCUUUUGUUCUUUAAAAUGGUAGUGUUUGUAAUUCGUUUCCCGACAUUUUGUGCAUCUUCUCGAUUCUGGUGGAUUGAACUCAUGUAAGCUAGCUUUGUAACAUUUGGCUGCACGUAUAAACUGAUCUUAACACAUCCGUUUGGACUUUUGAUUUUAUUUUGUCCUCGUAAUUUGCAGAUUCACAUUUUCCCACCUUUUUGUUUGUUAGUAAAAUACUUUAGAACUUAUAUACUAGCAAUAGAAUAUUAGGACAAACUUUGGGUGGCACUAGGUGCAGCAAAAAAUGGUGCCAUGGCAGCGGAAUUGGACUGACGCUACAGUUCCCACUUUUAAAGGUUCGGUUGACCUUUUCCAUGUCAUUUAUCUUGUGAUUGUAGCCCAUUUCUUUUGUAAGUGAUCAACAUUAAUACUUGGUUUUGUUACUCAAGGAUGUUGGACACUGGUUAAGUAUUACAGGCGGAUUAUGUUGGCUUAGUUUGCUACAAUUUAUGCCCGUUAAGAGAAUAGUGGAUACAACUAUAAUAUCUAUGUAGUGCAUUUUUUAGUAAUGUAGAAGCUUCUAAAUUAUUGACUGUGAGUAUCUCACACAAACUUAUCUACUUUUUCUAUGCUUUGUGAUUCUAUCGUGCCCUAUCUUUAGAAGUCACUCUGAUUCAGUUAAUUCAAUGCCCAGCAAUAUCAUCAAUUCAACAAGCAGUUACUCGAAAUUCCAUCGCCCCAAAUGGCAUAGGAUACCUCGGGCGUCCAACUUCUGGCAUAAGUUUUUGUGCAUUCAAAAAUUUAGGAACCUGAACCACAAGGGCAAAUGGAAGGCACCUUUGAUCGGUAAUCCAGAGUACAUGGAUGAUUCUUACACCUAUGCUUUUGAUAGGCUGAUGCACAUUGGCGUUGAGCCAAGGUAGGUUAGUGCUUCACAAGGACCAGCUCUAAGCAUGACUUGUGCAGAUAUGGGAAAGAAGCCUAGGUAGGCCUCCUUUCUGAAGAAAAAAUAUAUAUGGGAAAGAAGACUAGAUGAAAAAUCUUGGGGAAGACUUUGGUGAAGAAGAACAAGGUGAAUUUUAUCUGUUCAACAAAAUCAAGUUUGUUCCUGCACUUUGAUGUUAUGAAUCACUGUGUAGUAAGCAGGAGUGCUUCUCAAUCAAUAUUUUAUAUGUUUGUUAGAAAUUGAAGAAACAAAUAUCUAUCUGGCAGUCUAUAAUGGGUUUUGAGGCUGGUUCAUUGCUACACAUAUAGUGGAGAGCUUCCUAAAAAUUGGAGGGGACUUGUUGUAGCCUUAUAAUGUAUUAUCUCGGGUAUUACAUUUCUCAUUCCAUUUGCCAACAUUUUGAAUGAGUUUAAAUGUUAGCACUCUUAGACAAUUGACAAUGUUUAUUCAAAAGAUUAUACUGCAGUUCUACGUGAGUUUCUCAUCAUAAUUCUUUAAAUUUCAAAUCAGAUACAAGUGCAACAAAAUAUAGACAUGACAAGCUACUGAGCUCUCACAUUUGAAUGCUAAUGUUCCUUUGUAGACAUGGGUUUAUU